rnacentral:rRNA from 1 species
GAAACCGUUCAGGGGUAAACCUGAGAAACCCAAAAGAUCGAAUGGGGAGAUUCAUCGUCAACAUUGCUGGCUCCUGUUGGUGCGCGAUGCCCCGGGUGGACCCUUUGGGUUCCAUUUACGGAGGGCACACCACCUACGGCGAACGUCCGGUUYUGUAGUCGUGCACUUCUCCCCUAGUAGAACGUCGCGACCCGUUGRGUGUCGGCCUACGGACCGAAGCGGAGACUGCUCGUCACCUCGUGUGUAUGCGUGGCAGACCUUCGGUUUCCUGGCCGACUACACGACGGUACUCGAACGGUAUCGGGCCGCAACCAAUCCAUUUGUUAAAUGUGUGUGCGUCAGGACCGCUGCAAGCUUGGUCCAGUUUAUCCGGAUGUGCGGACUUUGUGCCGUCCCCGGUGCUGGCCGGCUGUUAGCAAGCGGAGUCCUUGGACUGGCCAAGCUUUGAAUUACCGGUCGGCGACGCUAUUGCUUUGGGUACUCUCAGGACCCGUCUUGAAACACGGACCAAGGAGUCUAACAUGUACGCGAGUCAUUGGGACUUGUAAACCUAAAGGCGAAAUGAAAGUGAAAAUCGAUCUUAGCAUCGAUCUAGGGAGGAUGGGCCUCGUUACGAUUAGGCCUCGCACUCCCGGGGCGUCUCGUUCUCAUUGCGAGAAGAGGCGCACCUAGAGCGUACACGUUGGGACCCGAAAGAUGGUGAACUAUGCCUGGUCAGGACGAAGUCAGGGGAAACCCUGAUGGAGGUCCGUAGCGAUUCUGACGUGCAAAUCGAUCGUCGGAACUGGGUAUAGGGGCGAAAGACUAAUCGAACCAUCUAGUAGCUGGUUCCCUCCGAAGUUUCCCUCAGGAUAGCUGGCACUCAAGUUAAAUAAAGAGACAAACGAGUCUCAUCUGGUAAAGCGAAUGAUUAGAGGCCUUGGGGCCGAAACGACCUCAACCUAUUCUCAAACUUUAAAUGGGUGAGAUCUCUGGCUUGCUUGGUUCAAAUGAAGCCACGAGAUUUUGGAUCAGAGUGUCAAGUGGGCCAAUUUUGGUAAGCAGAACUGGCGCUGUGGGAUGAACCAAACGCAGAGUUAAGGCGCCUAAGUCGACGCUUAUGGGAUACCAUGAAAGGCGUUGGUUGCUUAAGACAGCAGGACGGUGGCCAUGGAAGUCGGAA